CAUGAUCAACCAAUCUAUGACCCAUGGGGCAUAUAUAGCAAAGCACUUGCUCUUGGCAUCCUGGAGCAUCAAUUUUCUAUUUUCUUCCGAUCCCUUAGUGUCGUUAAUGUUGCAUCAACAUUCAUGGAGUUAACAGAGAGUGUUGAGAUAUUGAAAAUGGAAGCAUCAGAAAGAAAAAGAAAGGAUAUUAAUUUAUCUGAAUAUUAGUAGGCUAUCUUACCCCCGCAGGUCGUUUUUUUUUUACGUUCGCUUCCAUUUCUUCGGACCCCAGCCUGUUUAUCCUAUGUUCUAGCUAGUUUAAUGCUGCAGGUCAUUUUGCCAGAUGUGCCUCAUGGUCAUGUUUGGGUGCGAGAUUGGAGAUUGAGCACGCCACAAUCAGCUUCUAGUUGCAACUUCUAGGCACACUGCGAGUCUGCAAUAUACGAUGCAUGCUAUGUCUCCAUGUGUAAUGGACUUGUUCCAUUAUUUGAUAGUGUAGGGAGUCUGGAAUCCCAGAUGUCAAAUUAAACAUGGCGUGCAUGAACUGUGUCGACUAGCUGAAGCGAGCUACAUGCAUGAGUAGCAAAUGAGCAGUACUAAGUUUAUCACUGAAAAGGAUAUGCACUAUAUGAACACAGUUAAUGAUCUGCUGCAUCGUGUUCCCUCGAAAAACAUAAAUUCGAAGCAGUGUAAAACAAAUGUUCGUUCCUAGCUACCCGCCUAUCAUCCAUCCAGCAUAUAAGAAGCUACCCCUGGCACGCUGCUCUCCACGCAUAAGCAUUUCCUGCCCUCCCUUCCUCUGCAUAGCGACACUAUCAACUUUUCAUUCUCAUGAGAUGGUGGAAGAAGGCAUCAAGAAAGUCCAGGUAUUGGGUUAGAAAAAAGGACAGCCAGGAACAGGUCCGUGAUUCCGGUAGACAUGAGAUUUGUUGUCAUCCUUAUAUGGAACCUCGUCGUGAUCCUUGUCGUCAUCAAGGAAGAGGGAAGGAAUGCGAGUUACCUUAAAAUUAGUUCGGUAAUAGAGGGGAUAUGCAUUAGCUUUGAGGUUUUACGCAGACAAACUAAUAUCCGCAUCUCGGGAUAGUUGGCCACAUCGAGUCAGCUCGAUCACCUAGCUGCAGCCUGCAGAUGACAUUAUUGCAAGCAUCAAGUGUCAAGGAUGCAUCCUCCACGCAGAAGUUCAUACCAAAAUAUAUGUAUCUAGAAAAAUAAAAAAUGAAUUGUAAUUUAGAACCGGGGAAGUGUUAUGAAUGAUCGCUAUGCAUCGUUGUCUGUUGGUUGGCAGGGCUAUGCCUUAUACAGUUAUACUAUUAUGCAGUGGCAGAUCCAGGAAGACAUGAGCAGGGUUGAUUGUAUAGAUGAUCUAUUGGAAUUUUCGUAACUAACUUAAUCCCCAGUAACACUAAGACCAAUCAUAGGCAAUUAGACACUUGUACAAAUAAUGCAAAAUAACAGGGGAAAAAGUUCAUAUAAGCAUGUAGCUAGCUAGUAACCAUAAGCAACACGCUACGCACCUACACUUGUACAAAUGCAAAAAUAACAGGGAAAAAUGUUCAUAUAAGUAUUAUGUAGAGUUUUACAAUUUUAUUCACCAAAAGGUAGGUACAAUAUUGGACUGAAAACAAAAGGCAAUUAUAUUAGUUUAAAUUAAAACUAAUACAAGAAACAGGUUGUUGACACAAUAUUGCAGUAUAUAUGACAUAUAGUGAUAAACAAAGUGAAUAAAAACAAAAUUAUUGUUAGAAUUGUUACAGCAGUAAUGGAGAAAAUCUUGCGUCCCCAGGCAGAACCAUGAGUUACUUAUUAGUCAGAUCAUUAGUUUCAUAAAUAGUGGCAGAUCUCUGAACUUCUUUGCUCUACUACACCAUUGAUUGGCAUAUAAUGAAUUUCGUGACUAAGAAAUAGAAAUUCCGGCAAGCACAUAUGCAGAUCUGGAAAUGGGUUUUGUCUUGACGUUUCGCGAACUUUGUUAGUAACAGAGGCUGAGAAGAUUUUUCAAUUGAUGGCUUCAUGCAUCUUUGGAACCGGAGCCACCAGCAGAUUGAACCGCAAAUUCAAGCCAUUAAUUUUGAAGUUAUAAGAGCUGCAAACAUUCUGGAAAUGGUGAAGGUUUCUUUUCCAUUUUUACAAAACAAAUAACUCAUGAACUAUUUUCUGGCAAGAUUUAUUCAUCAUUAAGUACAGACACAAUGGGUAUAACCAACCUGGCUUUCAUAUAUAAGAUAAUAUAACUCCGUACACAAUGGGUAUACGAACAUUCAGUAUUUCUGAAUGCACUACUACAGCAAAUUUUGCACAGGGAAUGAACCUGCUAAUGAUUAAUAGGCUGCAGUCAUAUAUUUGCAGUAAAUACUUCUAAUCAGUUUCCCUUCAGCACCGUCACUUCAAAGCACAGGUCAUCCUCCACCAAGUGUCAACUACCACAUUAAUCGCUUUCACCUAUCCAAAGCCACAAUUCCGGACCCUAAUAUAAUGGCUGUGUCAACUGAUACAUUGCACUGCAGACCACCUUUCUUAAUUACUCCCUCCGUCCCAAAUUAUUAGCCGUUUUGGCUUUUCUAAAUUUAUAGAUUUUACUAUGCACCUAGACAUAAUAGAUAUGUAGAUGCAUAGAAAAAAUUAUGAAUCUAGAAAAGCUAAAAUGACUAAUAAUUUAGGACGGAGGGAGUACUGACUUAACUACAUGAGUUCUGUGGCAGUCGUUGUAAGCUUUACAUGCAUGAUUCUGCCAGUGUUUUUGCCAAAAGGCUGAUGGUUUUUUCUUUAUAAUUAUAUUGAAUAGCCGAUGCCAUUUAGGCCCUGAGCUAGUGAGGCAAUUCUUGAGAGUUACUCCCCUCGUCCCAUGAAGAGCGCAAUUCUGUGUUUGAAAAAAAAUCCCAUAAAGAGUGCAAUCCUAUGAAUUGGAUCUCAAAUACCUGCCUAAUUAAGUGGUCAGAUUUGAUUUGCAUGCCAAAGCUAACUGCACAUGGUCAACAAAUGAGGGCAAGAGAGUCUUUUCACGCCACCGCUAAUCUGUCUAGAAAAGACUAGAAUUGCAUUCUUCAUGGGACGGAGGGAGUAUUUAUCAAGUGGCUGAUGCGUUUUCUUAGAAAUGCUUGUUAGAUAUUAUUGGUUCCUAGUAUGUUUUCCCUCUUGGGGAGACCACCAAAUAAAUAAAUCUAGAAAACCCUUGGGCACUUGAUAAGAAAUUGUGGAGAAGAACAAUAACCCUUAACCAUUUGAAAAGAAUAUUCAAACAUAAAGUUUUAAUAUCAUUACAGCUGAUUAUACAUGAAAUCUUGCAGGAACCAGUAGGCAAAACAUCCGUUAUUUCUAUUGGAGAGAUGCAGCACGCACAAUAUUCAUGUUUCUACUGGAGACAUGACACGUACUAGUAUACCACAAAAAUAAAGCAGAUAAUGUCAGUUAGGAUGUAAGUUCCACUUGCUAUGGGUCACUGGGCCGACUUGAACUUGCUAAAAUGAACUAAAACGGCAUGCCGUGUAUAUCAUAUUUUUUAGGAAAAAAAAAGAAAGACAUUCUGUUAUUUGUUUGAAACUUGUAUCUCACCAGUUCUUUUUUUUUCGAACAAUGUAUCCCACCAGUUCUCAUAUCUGGCUACAAUUCUGCAGUUUCAUUUAUCAGUUACUAGGGCACAAUCAAGUUACCAUCAAAUACAAAUAAUGCGAUAGUAACAUGAAAAAUUGUUUUGAUACUAGUCUCUUAUUAACAUUGUGCAUGCUCUGUCCAUAUAUAUAUAUAUAGGCAUUCAAGCCUAUAAAAUUUGUACAUAAAUGUUAGCAUUUCUGAUAUUUCACUUGCAACCGUUACCAGGACAUGCCCGUGCAUGCGUGAUUUAUGGGGCUUUAAUUAGGGACAUAUCAGUCUUUUACAUGCAAGCCUAAUCUGUCUUGAAAAUCUUAUAUAUAGAGGGAGUACACUAAAGGAUUUUCUUAGAAACAUGGAAAGUACAAAACAACCAAUUCUAUGCUCCUAUAAAUUUUCUAGAAGAACAGAUGCUCUGACCUACCGAGCUAUCACACGACCCACCAAAUCUUAAACAAGAGCAGUUUUUGCUUUUGAAAUGACAUGAACCAUAUCCAACAAUCAUGUUGAGCUAUUGGAAUAGGACACGUCAGGAAUGAGAAAACUACGAGUUUGCUGCACUUUAGCAGGCAGAUCCACAGAGUUCACACUUGUGGAAACUUCCUGCCUUCGAGGAUUUGCCGAUGUGGAGAUGGAUUAGUGUAUCUCCAGAAUUGCAGAGGACUCUCAAGUUCUUAAUGUCAGCACUAUCGUCAAUCUUGGAGGAUUCGUCUAAUAUCCAGAGACAAUUUCUCACCAAAAAUAGGGUUAAUAGAAUAAGAAACAUUGAAAACAAGUAAUAUGCUAGCAUAGAGGAGGCUUGAUCUGGGGCAUGGGGUCUAGUCCAACAAAGGGACCAUUCCAAGCUAUAGCUUCCAAGUAGCGCAGAUAGGAUGUACUGGAACAAAUUCUUUGAGAGGUACCAAAAAAUCAAGCAGUCAUCAGAGCAUUCAAAAAUGAAUUGAGGUUCUUUUCAGCUACCAUAUCACAAAUCAGUAAACCCAGAUCGGGUACAAAGAAGAAAGAAAUGAAGAUGCAGUAAACUGAAACAAAAGGUAGAGUCAUGCUUCAGAUUGCAGUUCAGAGUUCAGACCAAGGCCAAAAUGGAGUUCAGAUUCAGAGUCUGGAUGAAUACCUGGAGGCGGAGAUGUGCAACGCCCAGCCUGUUCCUGCGGCGAGACGACGAGCAGAGCAGCCAUCCCACCGCGGCGGCGCCGCCUCACCGAAGUGUAUUGUGUGGGUGGGUGGCGUGGCGCUCCCUCGCCGUCUCAGGCCAGCCGGCGCUGCUGCGGCAGAGGAGCCAGGGCCUCGAGCGUCCCGGGCGCUUGGCCGGAGACAGAAGCUGGGGCGAGAGUCUGAGGGAGGCGAAACCAGAUGCUUGGCAGCGGGGCUCGCGGAGGUCGGCGGCGGCCGAGCAACCUCGCUGGGGGCCCUGUCUCCGGCCCAGGAUAUUUGC
rnacentral:lncRNA from 1 species